UACGUAGGUGGCGAGCGUUAUCCGGAUUUACUGGGCGUAAAGCGUGUGCAGGCGGCUUAUCAAGUGGUGUAUGAAAUAUCCAGGCUCAACCUGGAGGGGUUAUGCCAGACUGGUAGGCUAGAGUGCGAGAGAGGGGCGUGGAAUUCCGGGUGUAGUGGUGAAAUGCGUAGAGAUCCGGAGGAACCCCAGAGGCGAAGGCGGCGCCCUGGCUCGACACUGACGCUCAGACACGACAGCAUGGGGAGCGAACGGG
rnacentral:rRNA from 1 species